rnacentral:rRNA from 1 species
GACGAACGCUGGCGGCGUGCUUAAUACAUGCAAGUCGAACGGAAAGGCCAUGCUUUUGUGGCGUGCACGAUUGGCGCGGGGGGGAGUAACACGUGUGUAACCUCCCCUUGACUUUGUGAUAACUUCAGGGGACUCCGGCUCAUACCGCAUAUAAGCUACUGCUCCACGUGGGGGGUUGGAAAGUUUCGGCGGUUGGGGAUGGACUCGAGGCUUAUCAGCUUGUUGGUGGGGUUGUGGCUUACCAAGGCUUUGACGGGUAGCCGGCCUGAGAGGGUGACCGGCCACAUUGGGACUGAGAUACGGCCCAGACUCCUACGGGAGGCAGCAGUGGGGAAUAUUGCACAAUGGGCGGAAGCCUGAUGCAGCAACGCCGCGUGCGGGAUGACGGCCUUCGGGUUGUAAACCGCUUUCGCCUGUGACGAAGCGUGAGUGACGGUAAUGGGUAAAGAAGCACCGGCUAACUACGUG